AAUCUAAUUAAUCUUAAUCAAGAAUUCAAUUCGUAAAAGUAAACUAUUGCUUAGAAAUUAACACUUCAUUCAAUAAAUGAUCUGAAUGAGAGAGUAUCAAGGAGUACGUCGUAAAGAUUUAUGGUUCGUGAAACAACGUGAAGACAAGAAACGUUGGAAUCCAUCUUGGAAACUACUGGAUGAACGGAAGAAUGCUUGCACAUUGUCGACAGACACCAGGAACGAGAAUCUGAACAAGAUUAGGCUAGUUUCCAAGUCAGCCGAGAGGACAGCCGUGCCACGCGACACUUUGCCGGCGACCAGUCCCUAAUGAUCGUUCGCAUUUGUCGAAUUUAAUUCCGGAUAUUCGAUUCCUAAAUGCCUCGGGGCGAGACGAAAGCCAGCUGCCGGUGGAAUCGAUUCGAACAUAUCCCUGCUGGAGUUCAAGAGGUUGGAUAGUUAUCGGAAACGUGGCUAAAAACGAUAGACUAUAUGGAAGAUGGGAAUGAAAUACUAUCUUGACCCUAUUUACCGGCCUAUAGAUUCUUUGCUUAUGAGUCGGUUGUUUAAACUGAUAUCUGAUAACAUAGUUUUUUUGAUUGCAAUCAAAUAUAAUAUCCACCAGUAUUACUCGAUAAUAUUUGAUCACUUAUCACAUAUAGAUAAAUGUGGGUCGGUCAAUUAAUUAAAUUGGAUUUUUCUUUUUUAUUUCUUAAAAAAUAUGAUAUAAAUGAAUAAAAAAAAAUGUUACAAUUGAUGUAACUUACAUUCUGCUGUUACUUUUUGAUAUUUUGGAAAAAUAAUUAACAAAAGCAAUGUAUAAUGAAUAGUAGAGAUUGAGAAGAAAAUAGUUAAAGGAAUGCUGGAAAUGCUCGCGCGCUCGUGUAUGCCUUGCGACAUUAAUCCAUUUUCAGAUAAGUAUGCUCUCUGGUCGCUUAAACCUGACAAACUGUUUUCUCUGUGCUCAAAACGAUAAGAUCUUUUACGAAUUAUGCACAAUUAUGUCACGAUCGUGGAAUUAGAAAUUUUCUAAACUUUAAAUGUUAUUUUCCGACGGCAAAAUUUUUAUGUAAGUAUAAAAACGUCUAAUCAAUAGAAAUUGCGCAUGGAUGAACAAUGCAUUUUAUGUUUAAUAGCGUUGUUAAAAAUUAUGAUUAUGAAUUGGAAAAUGGUUUGGAAGUUUUGAAACUAGAAGAGAAUCUUUAUAGUUCAAUGGGUUAGAACAAAGAGAUUGAUUAUGAGAUAUCAAUGGUAUCUAUGAUAGUUUCAAGAAAUAUUUUAAAAAUAUAUAAUUUUACAGAUCACAGUAUUUGGACGCUUUUCUGACAUUUCUAUCCAAAUUAUCAUUGCAAAUGCAGCUCUUACAAACAUAAUUACUACAAUUAUAGAAAAUCAUAUAGGACAACACUAUAAGAAAAAUGAAAUUAUGAAAUCUCGUAAUGGAAUAAGUAAUAACACAUCACAUAUUUUCAAUUUUGAAUAUCAUUUCACAUUAACCCAUAUAUGUUUCACAUGUGUACAAGUUGAUUCAACACCCAAAAAAUUUCUUCCUUUUCGUUUUAUAGAAACUGACUCGAUCAUUAACCAAA
rnacentral:lncRNA from 1 species